rnacentral:rRNA from 1 species
CAGCCGCCGCGGUAAUACGAGGGGGGCAAGCGUUGUUCGGAAUUAUUGGGCGUAAAGGGCGCGUAGGCGGUUUGGCAAGUUUGGUGUGAAAUCUUCGGGCUCAACUCGAAGUCUGCACCGAAAACUGCCGGGCUUGAGUAUGGGAGAGGUGAGUGGAAUUUCCUGUGUAGCGGUGAAAUGCGUAGAUAUAGGAAGGAACACCAGUGGCGAAGGCGACCACCUGGACUGAUACUGACACUGAGGUGCGAAAGCGUGGGGAGCAAACAGGAUUAGAUACCCGGGUAGUCCCUGUCUCUUAUAC